UCAGCGGAGAUCGAGGGAGUCGAGGUCCUCCGCAGGAGGAAGAAGAAGAAAAUGAAAAAGACCCGCGCGUAUUCUUCUUCGUCGGCAAAUGGUGUAAUGGUGUAAUGGUGUAAUGGCGUAAAUGGUGUAAUGGUGUAAUGGUAUAAUGGUAAUGGUGUAAUGGUGUAAUGGUAAUGGUGUAAUGGUAAUGGUGUAAUGGUGUAAUAGUAAUGGUGUAAUAGUGUAAUGGUAAGGUGUAAUGGUGUAAUGGUAAUGGUGUAAUGGUGUAAUUCUAAUCGCUCUUUUUUUUUCUCGCCGCCCGCCGUUCUCCUUCGAAUCCUCCUGCGCCGUCCCCAUCACCGUCGCGUUCCCGAACCGCACCCUCCUCGCUCCCCCCGCGACCCGCACC
rnacentral:lncRNA from 1 species